GUUCCAUUAGGCGCAGUGGUCGGCGCGCCCGGUUUCAACUAGGAGGACAUGCGUUCGAAUCGCAUACGGCCCA